UUAUUUUCCAGAAACUCGUCGUAUAAAUUCAAUCAAUGACCUGGAUUGAAAACAGCUGUUCUGGGAUAUACUGGUCGUUAGGUAAUAACUCCUUCAACCAAUUGCCACUCAGAAAAUAUUUGAAUCCACCUAUAACCCACCCACAUCAAGUCUUCCCUCCUUUCCAGACUGAACCAAUGUUUACCUCACAUGUGUUGAUUGAUGUUUUAUGUCUCCCUAAAACAUAUAAAACCAAGCUGUAACUCAACCACUCAGGACACAUGUUCUCAGGAUCUCUUGAGACUGUGCCUUUGGCCUUGGUUACUCAUUUUCGGCUCAGAAUAAACCUCUUUAAAUAUUUUACAAAGUUUGUUUUUUUCAUUUUCAUCAACAUUAAUAGUAUUUUAGUUUAGGGAAUAUUGCUAUUAUUCAAGCAACUAGCAGUGGAAGUCAGAAUAUUGUCAUGAAAUUAUAACUUACUAAAUACUAUAAUGAAGACAAUCUUCUAAUUCAUCAACACGUCUUCAGAAAUUUCUUAUUCUCCUGUACUACAUUGGAUGCUACAGAUCAGAGACUCUCAGCCUUGACACUAUUGGCAUUAUACAGUGAAUGAGUCUUUGUUUGGGGGGCAUGUUCUGAGCUCUUGAAAAUGUGUAGCACCAUCUUGUACUUCUACCUACUAGAGACGAGCAGCAUCCCCUUCCCAGUUGUAACAUAGAAAAUAUCUCCAGACAUUGACAACAUCACAUCCUUUUGAGAAUUAUGGCUGCUGAAGUAAGCAAUAAUUGUGGAUAAGACAAAUUAGGUUUCUGACCAACAUUUAAUGGGAAACACAAUUAAAUGAAAAAUAAAUAAACUGGAACAAUACUCAUUGUUCUAAAUCAUUUAAAGUUACUAAAUGGGAUAAAGUCAUAUGUAAUGGAAGAGACCAUAUUCAGGGAAUAGUUCUUGAAAAGGUUGCUCUUGAGUUAAAAUUUAAGGGCUGAAAAGACGCUAUAUAUGUGAAGAGAUUAAUAAAGUGUCAGUGUCUUUCCGAUUUAAAAACAUGCCUAAAUCUGCCCACAAAGCCAUACAAGACUUUCCAAAGAAGGCUUUAUAUUUAAGAUAGAGACAUUAUGAAUUUGUAUGUUAGCAAGUUGAAGAAAGGCUACCCAGCCCCUGCCCUAAUGGAAUGGAAAUGGUAGUUGGAUUAUUACUAUUUUCUGGGGGCAGUUCUAAAUAAAGGGUAUGUGAAAACACCUGUGAGAAGGCAGCCACCUGCAAACCAGAAGGAGAGGCAUCACCAGAAACCAACCCUGCAGUCGUCUUGAUCUUGGACUUUCAUAUUCCAGAACUGUGAG
rnacentral:lncRNA from 10 species